rnacentral:rRNA from 1 species
CCUACGGGCGGCAGCAGUGGGGAAUAUUGGUCAAUGGGCGCAAGCCUGACCCAGCAACGCCGCGUGAAGGAAGACGGCUUUCGGGUUGUAAACUUCUUUUCUCAGGGACGAAGAGAGUGACGGUACCUGAUGAAUAAGCCACGGCUAACUACGUGCCAGCAGCCGCGGUAAUACGUAGGUGGCAAGCGUUAUCCGGAUUUACUGGGUGUAAAGGGCGUGUAGGCGGGGAAGCAAGUCAGAUGUGAAAACCACGGGCUCAACCUGUAGCCUGCAUUUGAAACUGUUUUUCUUGAGUACUGGAGAGGCAGACGGAAUUCCUAGUGUAGCGGUGAAAUGCGUAGAUAUUAGGAGGAACACCAGUGGCGAAGGCGGUCUGCUGGACAGCAACUGACGCUGAGGCGCGAAAGCGUGGGGAGCAAACAGGAUUAGAUACCCCAGUAGUC